rnacentral:rRNA from 1 species
UGGGGAAUAUUGCACAAUGGGCGCAAGCCUGAUGCAGCCAUGCCGCGUGUCUGAAGAAGGCCUUCGGGUUGUAAAGCACUUUCAGCGGGGAGGAAGGCGCUAAGGUUAAUAACCUUGUCGUUUGACGUUACCCGCAGAAGAAGCACCGGCUAACUCCGUGCCAGCAGCCGCGGUAAUACGGAGGGUGCAAGCGUUAAUCGGAAUUACUGGGCGUAAAGCGCACGCAGGCGGUCUGUCAAGUCGGAUGUGAAAUCCCCGGGCUCAACCUGGGAACUGCAUUCGAAACUGGCAGGCUAGAGUCUUGUAGAGGGGGGUAGAAUUCCAGGUGUAGCGGUGAAAUGCGUAGAGAUCUGGAGGAAUACCGGUGGCGAAGGCGGCCCCCUGGACAAAGACUGACGCUCAGGUGCGAAAGCGUGGGGAGCAAACA